rnacentral:rRNA from 1 species
UACGUAGGUGGCAAGCGUUGUCCGGGAUUAUUGGGCGUAAAGCGCGCGCAGGCGGUUAUGUAAGUCUGAUGUUAAAGCCCGAGGCUCCACCUCGGUUCGCAUUGGAAACUGUGUAACUUGAGUGCAGAAGAGGAAAGUGGUAUUCCACGUGUAGCGGUGAAAUGCGUAGAGAUGUGGAGGAACACCAGUGGCGAAGCCGACUUUCUGGUCUGUACCUGACGCUGAGGCGCGAAAGCGUGGGGAGCAAACAGG